CUCAGACACUGAGGUGGAGGCAGGAGUUUGGGACAGAGAGAAAGACUGUGAGCCCUGCAGGGGCAAGACCUGGGGUCAGUGAGAAAGAGUGACCAGGAGGGUCAAAGACGAUGGUACAGCAGGACAAAAUGAACUUCAGAGAAGGUGAUGCGGAGUGACGGUCGGAAGCGGUGUAUCAGAGGAGCAAAAGGAUGGAGACUAUCUGUUAAAAGUCUAUUAUCCUGGAGGGCCCCCCAGGAAUGUGACCUCCCACACCUUCACCCUCUGGGCCUUCUCCAAUAGUACUCGAAGGUGUGGCUGAAAGUGCCGUAAACUCAACGGGGGAACACACGGACUUGGGGACAGCAGCAGAUCUGAAGCUGAAUUUAUUACCUCUUUCCCAAACUUAGAAGACAGACACAUUGCAAACUCUCCUCAUCCUCACUCCCAGGGGCCCAGCAUAAACCCCCUUCAUCUCCAGACAGAAAACAAGAGAAGAGGCCCUGAGGCUGUUGGAGCUGCCCCAGAUGUUGUUUUGGCAGGGCCUUAAUGGGGCUGGGCCUCCUGGGGCUGGGUGUCUGGGGCAGGCAGGAAGAUGGCAUCACAGCUGCGAUAGCCAGAAACCCCCCUGGGUAGGGGGCUAAUGUGUGGAGAAAGACAGACUCAAUAAAAAGGGACAUGAGGAAGAAUCUAAAGAGGUACUGCACGCGCUUUGU